GAUAUGCUAAUGAGCAGACUUCCCUCGCUUGAGUUUCUGAAGAAUGUUCCAUAUCGCGCUAAGCUCAUCACUGCUGAUUAUGACAGGCGUGCAGCGGCACACAUUGACAUAGACCACUGUUGCAAUCAACGACACAGUCGCUAUCCAAGUAGCAUUAUAGAGCUGUCAUGCAACGCAACAACUGUGCUAUCUGCCAUCGCACAUCAACGAAGAAGUGCAGCCGCCCACAUUCCACCUCACGUCUGUCCGACCAGCUGCAAUCCUCGAGGACGCCCCACUGUACCACGAUUUCACUACGAUGUUUGACAAGAAGGAGCA